CCUACGGGGGGCAGCAGUGAGGAAUAUUGGUCAAUGGGCGGGAGCCUGAACCAGCCAAGCCGCGUGAGGGAAGAAGGUACAGCGUAUCGUAAACCUCUUUUGUCAGGGAACAAAGGCGGGGACUAGUCCCCGGAUGAGGGUACCUGAAGAAAAAGCAUCGGCUAACUCCGUGCCAGCAGCCGCGGUAAUACGGAGGAUGCGAGCGUUAUCCGGAUUUAUUGGGUUUAAAGGGUGCGCAGGGGGCUUGUUAAGUCAGCGGGAAAAGCCCGGGGCUCAACCCAGGCGAGCCGUUGAAACUGGCGGGCUGGAGUUGGAGAGAGGUACGCGGAAUGCGCGGUGUAGCGGUGAAAUGCUUAGAUAUCGCGCAGAACCCCGAUUGCGAAGGCAGCGUACCGGCUCCACACUGACGCUGAGGCACGAAAGCGUGGGUAUCGAACAGGAUUAGAUACCCGUGUAGUC
rnacentral:rRNA from 1 species